ensembl:snoRNA
UGGCAUGCCACCUUUGAGCCUACAGCACCUGUAGUGGUGCCGGGGGUCAGGCUGCAGUGCCAGAGCAGCUGCUCGUGAUAACUGGGGCUCCAUGCUGCUGGCUGCCCUUUUAGCCAUGAGCCACAUGG